rnacentral:tmRNA from 1 species
GGGGCUGAUUCUGGAUUCGACGGGAUUUGCGAAACCCAAGGUGCAUGCCGAGGGGCGGUUGGCCUCGUAAAAAGCCGCAAAAAAUAGUCGCAAACGACGAAAACUACGCUUUAGCAGCUUAAUAACCUGCUUAGAGCCCUCUCUCCCUAGCCUCCGCUCUUAGGAAGGGGAUCAAGAGAGGUCAAACCCAAAAGAGAUCGCGUGGAAGCCCUGCCUGGGGUUGAAGCGUUAAAACUUAAUCAGGCUAGUUUGUUAGUGGCGUGUCCGUCCGCAGCUGGCAAGCGAAUGUAAAGACUGACUAAGCAUGUAGUACCGAGGAUGUAGGAAUUUCGGACGCGGGUUCAACUCCCGCCAGCUCCACCA